UACGGAGGGGGCUAGCGUUGUUCGGAAUUACUGGGCGUAAAGCGCGCGUAGGCGGACCUGCAAGUCGGGGGUGAAAGCCCGGAGGCUCAACCUCGGAACUGCCUUCGAUACUGCGGGUCUCGAGUCCGGGAGAGGUGAGUGGAAUUCCUAGUGUAGAGGUGAAAUUCGUAGAUAUUAGGAAGAACACCAGUGGCGAAGGGCGGCUCA
rnacentral:rRNA from 1 species